rnacentral:lncRNA from 1 species
AUGGCUUCAAAAUCCAUUCUUCUUCUAGGCAUUUUUCUUGUGGUGGCCACUAAGGUUUAUUCUUAUGAGGAAGAUCAUGUUUAUUCUUAUGAGGAAGAUCUCAAAAUAGUGGUGAACUAUGCAAACCCUUCAGCUCCUUCUGUUCUAGCUCCACCAGUAAAACCAUCACCAACACCUGUAGUGACGGCUCCAACACCUCCUUCUCCGGUGAAGACACCGCCAACAACUCCACCAUCACCUACUUCUCCUCCAUUGGCAAAAACACCACCUUAUCAAUACCACCUUGUUUCUUCCUUCAAUCCAUAA